rnacentral:lncRNA from 1 species
AGGCGCUGCGGGAGGCCACUGGUGCUCAAGCACCUCGGAUUCCCGCUCAUACAGCCGGCCGGAUCAUGUGGCAGUCAGGUGGCGACCACUAUCUAGCCCAACGUUGCUGGAGUUGUUGCAGCUCUGCCGGGCCCACAUAUCAGCGUUCGUGCAUGACGCCUCCUGUGGAUGGGUCACAAAAUGACUGUGCAGCAGCCGAAGGCCCCUGGAACCCAGACAGAUGUGCUACUGGCUGACCUUCAGCACUGCAGGUACCUGUGCCAGCCCCCAGCCCCGCCUCCUGUUGGCCCUCCCACGGAAGACAAGGGUGUGUGGCCGUAGUCAUGGCCAGAAUCUUCACUUCUGGGCCAGCACCCGGCAUGGAGCCCUUCUGCUGGGGCGAUCCCCCCACUGGAAAGUGGGUGGGUACCAGUUGUGUGUGCAAUGCCCUGUAGGCCUGAGAGGAGGUGGGGGUGUGGAAGGCACCAGGAUGAGGUAGGCGGUGGGUGCUGGCCCUCCCACUGCUGGGCUGCGUGACCUGGGAUCAGUCUUUCCUCUGUCUGAUGGCAGGUGCAGAUUGCCUGCCCUGGCACGUGGUGGGCAGUCUGGGCCCAGGAGCAUCUCCCACCCUGUGUGGCUGGGGCCUGCUCGUGAGUGGCCUGCUGUCCUCCUGCCCAGCAAGCUGCACCACCCUGGCCUGUUGCUGCUGAUGGCACUGAGUCCCUCUGCAGAUCUGUCGGGGCUGUGCCUUCUCUUUGAGCCUGUGUGGCUGGGCUCCCUGCAGGGGGUGCUGCACCCACCGAGACCAAGUGAGGAGGCACCUGGGACUGUGCUGGGCCUGCCGCCCCGGCCCCCUGCUGCAGCAGGUGCUAAAGGCCCUGCUGUUCCUGCAGGCCCACUGGCGAGCUCACAGUGGCUUCAGCUCUCACACCGUGUAGCUGGUGCAGCCAGGCCUGGCUAAAGUGGGCCACCUGGAGCACAGGCGCCUCCUACGCCAGCGCUGGCUGCGGCCCAGGCAGCAGAAGGGCUACCCCUGGGGAGGCCCAGGCCCAGGGCUUCCCCCGCCCCCUGAACUACACCCAUGGCUGCCACUUCAGCUGAUCUGCGGUGACAUGCCCACCACCACCUCAGACCUCUACAGCUUCUGCAUCCUGAUCCAGGAGGUCUUCACUGAGAAACUGUACAUCAAGUGGCUCACAGAGCCAAGACCACACCCAGGCCUGUGGCCCCUGUGAUGUCCCCAGGCCCCAUCCCAUGCCAGGCCUGAGACUCCUGAGGUCAGAGACCACAGCAGGAUCCCAAGGGGUGCAGCCUGGAACUUGGGCAGCAGCUUGACUCUAGGCAGCAGCUCUGGGCCCAGCCCAGGACCCAGCCCUGGGUCUGGCCACAGCCCCACAGCCAGGGGCCCUUCCCUGCACUCCAACUCCAGCCUCUAGGACUCAGCCUCCCUGCUGGGGACCCAGAGCUCUGCGGAACAGUUUGAGGAAGCUCUCAGCCAAGAUUCCAGCCCUGCAGGGGCUGCUGCGGCGCACACACAGGGUUAUUCUGCUGGAGCCCCAGCCCUGCACCCGGUACUGAGCUGACUAGAGGAGGUCUCUUCUCCAGCCUGCAGAAGAUGGACCUGCUGGAGGAGAUCAUAGCAGAGCUACAAAAAGGAUGUCAGCUUGGAGAAAAGCCCAGCCUGAGCCCCACUCCUGACCUAGACUCCCAGGGUGCCCAUGGUUCCCCUCUCUGCAGAUACCACCUCUCAGAGGCUCCCAGGAGUAACUCCUGCCUUGGUGCCUCCCCAAAAGGAAAUAGAAUGAUAAAGUGCCCCCUCUGUCUGUCUUCACUCACUGAGUUUGGCCCCAGAACGACUUCAGCAGCCACAUUUUCACCAUUUUAUUCAUUAAUGUUGUCAGAUGGUUUAGUGGGGCAUGUGGGGAAAGAAGGGUAGGAGUUGUCCCCCCAUCCCCGUGCACAGGUCAGGACAUGCUGGGGGCUCCUGGAGGGAGAGGAGGAUGGGGUCAGCCUAGCCCCUCCCACCCCAGAUUUGUGCGAGGGCCCCCAGGAUGGAGGGUGGUGGGGGGAUGGGCAGACCCUUCAGUCCAGGGUAGGGAAGCUGAGAUUAUAGGUUAGGGACCCACAUCAGAAGCAAGUUACAAAGUUAGAAACCUGGGGUAGUGGUCGGGGUUCAAGAAAAUACAAAACAAGGGAUUUGGUUGGGCCAAGAUCCAGUGAGGGUGAAGGGAAGGAAGGACGGCCCCUCCCAGCUGGUGCUCAGCAGUAGCUUCGGGUCUGGCCCUCAGAGUGGAGGGACCAGCUGGGAGUGGGGUAAGGGGGUGGGGGACCAGCCCCCUCCC